rnacentral:rRNA from 1 species
GAUGAACGCUAGCGGCAGGCCUAACACAUGCGAGUCGAGGGGUAACUAGAGUGAUAGCAAUAUUACUUUGGCUAGACCGGCGCACGGGUGCGUAACACGUAUGCAACCUACCUUAUACUGGGGAAUAACUUCGAGAAAUCGGCGCUAAUACCCCAUAACAUUGCGAAGAGGCAUCUCUUUGCAAUUAAAGCUCCGGCGGUAUAAGAUGGGCAUGCGUCCAAUUAGCUAGUUGGUGAGGUAACGGCUCACCAAGGCUACGAUUGGUAGGGGUUCUGAGAGGAUGAUCCCCCACACUGGUACUGAAACACGGACCAGACUCCUACGGGAGGCAGCAGUGAGGAAUAUUGCGCAAUGGACGAAAGUCUGACGCAGCCAUGCCGCGUGCAGGAUGACGGCCCUAUGGGUUGUAAACUGCUUUUGUACGGGAAUAAACCCUUCUACGUGUAGGAGGCUGAAGGUACCGUAAGAAUAAGCACCGGCUAACUCCGUGCCAGCAGCCGCGGUAA